UGGGACAACAGCAUAAACUAAGUUAGAGGAGGAAGGUUCAUAUUAUCUCUUUGAAUGACUAAAGGCUUCUAAGAAUCAAGAACUUGACAACUACAUAAGUACAUAUUGUCCUAGGCUUGAAUUUGCUACAUGAUUUGGAUAACUAGCUUAUUUGUGUAUUCCAGUGCCCUGCAAUUCAGUAUUUGGCUCGUGCUAUUUAUGUUAUUAAUUUUCAGGGUGGAUUCGUGGUGAAUUACCAUAUCAAUUAAAGGGGUCAGUGUUGAGAGGCACUGACGAUGCACACCUCAAGCUGUGGGUUAUUGUUGAUCUGAAUGACAUGACUUCAAGAUGAUGGGGCCGAACUGACCUUGGAAGUUACCGAGCGGGAAUUAAAACUUGAAGCUCAAUUAGUUGAAGCCAUAAGCAUCAUUUAAGAGCAGGCGUCCAUCGUGUGUAAGCAUAUCUCCAAACUAGGGUCCCGACUAAGUUCCCACUUGGUUUCCCCUGUUCCAAGCAGUCUUUGUUUCAGUUGAUAUUUCAGAAAAGAACUCGUCGAGGCUUAAAUUCCCAUGCUAUUGGUUCAAGAUAGCAUUAUCAGGUUGUAGAAGGAGAAUACAAUGCAAGCAGGGUGCUAUACUGCUAAUCUGUUAUGCUGCGGCAAGCCCAACCGAUUUUAUGUGCAGAGGUUAAUGGAAAUGUUGAAACAUGCUUUAAGGCUAACAUGUGGAAUGCAUGCAGAUUGAGGAAGAGAAGGCGCCGAACCAUCUAAGGAAGACCAUGUUGCCACAAGCAUGACCCCUCCCAAAGUUCGACAAACCCUUCUAUCCACAAAGGUGAGCAUAAACCCCCAAAUUAUAU